GGCCACAAGAGGGCAGCAGAGGACCGGCGGAGAAAACUGAGAGCUGGCUGACUCAGCAGGGGACAGGAAGUGCCUGCUCAGCCCAAGUGGCUGAAAUUUGGUUCCACCGUCUUGCUGAGCACAGCCUGACGCCAGGCCCCAGCUGGGGCUCCGCGGCGGCCAGCACGGUAUUUUGCUCUCAAGAGGCUUGCUGACAGGCUUGAAAGGACAGCGCUGGACAGCGGUGGGAAGUCUUUUGGACGUGCUCACCAUCCCCGUCGGGGGCGAACGUCUGGACAGUGAACACACCGAACGGGUAGCAUGGGAGGGGCACACGCUGGAGCAGAAGGAGGGCUGCACCUGGUCUCCAAAAGCUGGGCCCCGGGUGCAGCUGGGCGCUCGGGCUCAGGAUUAUUUCAAAGAGUAAACCAAAUGAAGAUGUUCCAGUGCCUCAGACACAGCAGAUGCUCAAAGGAGCCUUCAGCUGCACCUGCCGCCAGGCCUUGGAGCGCUGGAGACACCCAGGGGGAUGCACGCCUCCACACAGGAGCUUCCAAUCCAGGGAAGAGAGCAGAGAUGGCUGCCUCCCUAGAAGCCUACAGCUUGGCCUUGGAAAAACUUAGGAAUGUGAAAAAGUGGGGAAGCAGCACAAGCUAGC